AUGCCCUGCCCACACCAGACUACAGAGCCUAAGCUCCCCAGGGGGACAUGCCCUGCCCACACCAGACUGCAGAGCCUCACCUCCACAGGGGGACAUGCCGUUCCCACACCUGGCUGCAGAGCCUCACCUCCACAGGGGAACAUGCCCUGCCCACACCAGACUGCAGAGCCUCACCUCCGCAGGGGGACAUGCCCUGCCCACACCAAACUGCAGACCGUCACCUCCACAGGGGACACGACACUGUCCACACCACACUGCAGAUCCUCACCUCCACAGGGAACAUGCCCUGCCCACACCAAACUGCAGACCGUCACCUCCACAGGGGACACGACACUGUCCACACCACACUGCAGAUCCUCACCUCCACAGGGAACAUGCCCUGCCCAUAACAGACUGCAGAGCCUCACCUCCGCAGGGGGACAUGCCAUGCCUACAACAGACUGCGGAGCCUCACCUCUGCAGGGGGACAUGACCCCAUCCACACCAGACUACAGAGCCUCACCGCUGCAGGGUACUUGCACUGCCCACACAAGACUGCAGAGCCUCACCUCCACAGGGGACAUGCCCUGCCCACACCAGACUACAGAGCCUCACCUCCGCAGGGGGAAAGGAACCUGUCCACAUCAGACUGCAGAGCCUCACCUCUGCAGGCGGACAAGACCCUGUCCACACCAGACUGCAGAGCCUCACCUCCACAGGGGACAUGCUCUGCCCACACCAUACUGCGGAGCCUCACCUCCGCAGAGGACAUGCCCUGCACACACCAGACUGCAGAGCCUCACCUCCACAGGGGACAUGCCCUGGACACACCAGACUGCAGAGCCUCACCUCCACAGGGGACAUGCCCUGCACACACCAGACUGCAGAGCCUCACCUCCACAGGGGACAUGCCCUGGACACACCAGACUGCAGAGCCUCACCUCCACAGGGGACAUGCCCUGCCCACCCCAGACUGCAGAGCCUCACCUCCACAGGGGACAUGCCCUGCCCACACCAGACUGCAGAGCCUUACCUCCGCAGGUGGACAAGACACUGUCCACACCAGACUGCAGAGCCUCACCUCCACAGGGGACAUGCCCUGCCCACACCAGACUGCAGAGCCUUACCUCUGCAGGCGGACAAGACCCUGUCCACACUAGACUGCAGAGCCUCACCUCCAAAGGGAGACAUACCCUGGCCACACUAGAUUGCACAGCCUCACCUCCACAGGGGGACAUGCCCUGCCCACACCAGACUGCAGAGCUCACCCCGCACGGGGCCAUGCAAUGCCCCCACCAGACUUCAGACCCUCACCUCCGCAGGGGGACAUGCACUGCCCACACCAGACUGCAGAGCCUCACCUCCGCAGGGGGACAUGACCCUGCCCACACCUUGCUGUCAGAUUUCUGGCCUCCAGGUCCCUAA
rnacentral:lncRNA from 1 species